rnacentral:rRNA from 1 species
AUUGAACGCUGGCGGCAUGCCUUACACAUGCAAGUCGAACGGCAGCACGGGUGCUUGCACCUGGUGGCGAGUGGCGAACGGGUGAGUAAUACAUCGGAACAUGUCCUGUAGUGGGGGAUAGCCCGGCGAAAGCCGGAUUAAUACCGCAGGCGAUCUACGGAUGAAAGCGGGGGACCUUCGGGCCUCGCGCUAUAGGGUUGGCCGAUGGCUGAUUAGCUAGUUGGUGGGGUAAAGGCCUACCAAGGCGACGAUCAGUAGCUGGUCUGAGAGGAAGACCAGCCACACUGGGACUGAGACACGGCCCAGACUCCUACGGGAGGCAGCAGUGGGGACUUUUGGACAAUGGGCGAAAGCCUGAUCCAGCAAUGCCGCGUGUGUGAAGAAGGCCUUCGGGUUGUAAAGCACUUUUGUCCGGAAAGAAAUCCUUGGCCCUAAUACGGUCGGGGGAUGACGGUACCGGAAGAAUAAGCACCGGCUAACUACGUG